rnacentral:rRNA from 1 species
UACGUAGGGUGCGAGCGUUAAUCGGAAUUACUGGGCGUAAAGCGUGCGCAGGCGGUUUUGUAAGCCAGGUGUGAAAUCCCCGGGCUCAACCUGGGAAUGGCAUUUGGGACUGCAAGGCUGGAGUGUGGCAGAGGAGACUGGAAUUCCUGGUGUAGCAGUGAAAUGCGUAGAUAUCAGGAGGAACACCGAUGGCGAAGGCAAUCCCCUGGGCCUGCACUGACGCUCAUGCACGAAAGCGUGGGGAGCAAACAGG